GCCGCCGAGGCCGCCGCGGCGCCGCCCGAGGCGCUGGGCUGGUGCGCGCCCGGCACCUGAGCCGGAAGCCUCCCGGCGGCCGCGGCCCGCGCCCCUCCGCCGCCGGCGGUCCCGUUGGCCCCUCCGCCGCUGCUGGAGGAAGGUCAGCAAUGCUGAUGAUAAAAACUAAGAGCAGUGGAAACAAAAGAAACAAGAAGGCGGCAGAAGGCAACUUAAUCUGAAUUAGCCCUAUCCGAUCAAACACUCCAACUCCGGAGGAAGCGCACUGUUGGAGGAACUAAAGAAUAAUCCAGCCUGACCUUCAGUUGCAAGACAAGAACUGUGGUGCGGAGAAAGCUGCACCCGAUUUAGGAGACCCCAGGGUCUAGGUCUGGGACCAAAUUAAGUUACUGUAGUGAGCAAGUUAUUUUGCCUUUUUUGACUCUGUUAGUGUUUUAAACACCUUUGUACAGUUUACUUGGCACUAUAAACGUGAAUUCUGAAGUGUAUAAACUGCUUUCUUCCCCAAACGCCAACUUAUUGAGAUUAGUUUCCUUUCUGGGAUAUUUGACUAUAAAUCCCUAGGGCACUUGCAGCUUAAAAAUCCGAUAAUUUAUCUAAAAUUGAAUUUUUAAAAUUUAUUUAUUUUAUUUUAUUUUUUCUCAUCAAGAGAGGAGAGAGAGAAACAUCAAAGAUGAGAGAGAAUCAUUGAUCAGCUGCCUCCUGCAUGCCCCCUACUGGGGAUCCAGCUAGCAAGUCCCAGGCAUAUGCCCAGACUGGGAAUGGAACUGUGACCUCCUGGUUCAUAGGUCCAUGCUCCACUGCGCCACACCCACUGGGCUAGAAUGGAACUUAUUAAAAUUACCAGCCCACGCCUGUGACCUAGUAUCUUGGUAGUAGAACCUGGUCUGCAUGUCCAGUGGCCAGCCUGCUCUAACCCUCCCCUUUUGAAAAUGCCUAAAGUGUUCUCUAUGUGAAAAUAAUAGCAACUGGGUUUUUUUUUGUACAAAUUACAGAAAUACUUUGUCUUUUUUCCAUGCUUGUAAUGUCAUUUAUGUAAUGAUUUUCAUCACUUUUUGAAGUAUGAGAAUAAAGUUUUUAAACAGAAGUGAAUAAUACAAGAAUAAACUUAACGUCCUCACAACUAUAAACCUACUUUUGCCCACCCCGUAUAUACAUUGUGUAUAUGUGUGUAAAUAUAUCAGAGAUACUAGUGAAAUAUAUAUCUCUAAGUACAUAUUUAUUACAUACACAUAUGUACAUCUGUGUAUGAGCUUACUGAAACCAACAUUUACUUGUUAAGCAGAGAAAUGUUAGAAAGGCCAAAGUGGUUAGCAGCAUGACAAGUUCCAAUUCAAGAAGGUAUUUAGUGAUUUGAUUUGAUUUGAUUUACCUUUUACUAAAUGAGGCCUUGAUUGUAAAACUCUAGCCCAGCAGUAAAUUGUUACCAAUAUCCUAAGAACCUACUGCUACUAGAGAAAAUUAUAAACACCGAUUUUAAAAAAGGAGUAAAGGACUUCUGCAAGUCUUCAGGGAACUAAAAGCUGAUAAGUGAGAGUUUCACAGUCAUCUUCACACAUACAUUUAUGAAGCAAAUCCCAUUCAGUUAAAACUAAUAAAUGGAAAGAUUUAACAAUAAAACCCAAUGACUCCUAACUAUAUUCAGAUUUAUAUUAUGCUUUAUCACAUCCAAACUUGGCUGUAUGUUUUGUCACUUUUACCCAGAUGGUAAUUACACCUUAAAUGUGCUCUACAUUUAUUCCUAACUGGGAACAAAAAACCCUUAUAGUGCCAGGUUUCCUGCAUUCACACCAUUCACAACAGUUGAAAUGUUACAUUUCUUUCAUUUAUGCCCAUUCCUAACAAGACUGUAAAUGUCGUGGGGGCAUGGAAAGAGUGUGUUUUUUCAAUCACCACUGCAGUGCUUGGCACACAGUAGCCUGCAGGUAAGUAUUUAUUGAGUAAAUGAGUGGUGAGAAGACCACUUACAGGCUGAAUGUCAGAUGUAAGGGAUAAAAAUUGCAUUUGUAGUGGUCAUUCAUUCAGUGUGUUUUGUGUUAGUGCCAGGCACAGCAUAUUAGUCAGGCUACACUAAGCUACACAGAGGGAGCAAACCCCUAAACAUCAGGGCUAUGAUGCCACAGAAGCACAUUGCAAAAUGCGUUGGUACGCCCUCUCCUCUCUUGUUAAGGGCCGGUAGGAUACACUUGGUUUAAUUUACCUCAGCUGGGCUGGGGGCGGGUGGGGGGCGGCAGAGUUACUCCCUGAGGGCGGGACCAGUCAAAAGAUUGGACGCCACCCAGUUUGACUCUCCUGCCCAGUGUUAAGGGGGUGGAUCUCAUGAUGUCAAAGGCCUACCCAGAUGUGAUGUAAUUUCCUGUAACUCAAGUAUAUAAUAAAGCAGCUUUUGGAGCUGGCUCUCUCUGUGUGCUCUGUCCCUUCGGAGGGCAGGCUCUCUCUGCCUGUCCCUCUGGAGGGCAGGCACCACACCCAGCCCAAGCUUUGAAUCUA